CCGUCGAUAGCUUAGUUAGUAGAGCAGCGGACUAUAGAGUUGCACCUAUCCUUAGGUUGCUGGCUCGAAUCUGGCUCGAUGGA